rnacentral:rRNA from 1 species
CGGAGGGUGCAAGCGUUAUCCGGAUUCACUGGGUUUAAAGGGUGCGUAGGAGGGCAGGGAAGUCAGUGGUGAAAUCUCCGGGCUUAACUCGGAAACUGCCGUUGAUACUCUCUGUCUUGAAUCCCGUGGAGGUGAGCGGAAUAUGUCAUGUAGCGGUGAAAUGCUUAGAUAUGACAUAGAACACCAAUUGCGAAGGCAGCUCGCUACACGAAGAUUGACUCUGAGGCACGAAAGCGUGGGAUCAAACAGGAUU